rnacentral:rRNA from 1 species
ACGGGUGAGUAACGCGUGGGAAUCUACCGUGCCCUGCGGAAUAGCUCCGGGAAACUGGAAUUAAUACCGCAUACGCCCUACGGGGGAACGAUUUAUCGGGGUAUGAUGAGCCCGCGUUGGAUUAGCUAGUUGGUGGGGUAAAGGCCUACCAAGGCGACGAUCCAUAGCUGGUCUGAGAGGAUGAUCAGCCACAUUGGGACUGAGACACGGCCCAAACUCCUACGGGAGGCAGCAGUGGGGAAUAUUGGACAAUGGGCGCAAGCCUGAUCCAGCCAUGCCGCGUGAGUGAUGAAGGCCUUAGGGUUGUAAAGCUCUUUCACCGGAGAAGAUAAUGACGGUAUCCGGAGAAGAAGCCCCGGCUAACUUCGUGCCAGCAGCCGCGGUAAUACGAAGGGGGCUAGCGUUGUUCGGAAUUACUGGGCGUAAAGCGCACGUAGGCGGAUAUUUAAGUCAGGGGUGAAAUCCCAGAGCUCAACUCUGGAACUGCCUUUGAUACUGGGUAUCUUGAGUAUGGAAGAGGUAAGUGGAAUUCCGAGUGUAGAGGUGAAAUUCGUAGA